rnacentral:rRNA from 1 species
CAGCAGCCGCGGUAAAACGUAGGGUGCGAGCGUUGUCCGGAAUUACUGGGCGUAAAGGGUGCGUAGGCGGCUUGACAAGUCUUGUGUGAAAUCUAUGGGCUCAACCCAUAGUCUGCACGGGAAACUGUCGGGCUUGAGAAUGGGAGAGGUGAGUGGAAUUUCCGGUGUAGCGGUGAAAUGCGUAGAUAUCGGAAGGAACACCUGUGGCGAAAGCGGCUCACUGGACCAUUUCUGACGCUGAUGCACGAAAGCUAGGGGAGCAAACAGGAUUAGAUACCCCCGUAGUCCCUGUCUCUUAUAU